UCUGUGGUAGAGCUCUGUGGUAGAGCUCUUGCCUGGCAUGCUAUAAGGCCCUGGGUUCGAUUCCCAGCACUGAA
rnacentral:tRNA from 1 species